rnacentral:pre_miRNA from 1 species
UACAUACUCCCUCCAUCUGGAAAUACUUGUCACAAAAAUUAAUAAAAAUGAAUGUAUCUAGAACUAAAAUAUGUUUAGAUACAUUCAUUUCUCCGACAAGUAUUUCCGGACGGAGGGAGUAUAUC